UCAGAAAGGAUCCCCUCUAAUUAAGGAUAAGCAUGUGUUAAUUAAUGAACCAGGGCAUGGGUUAAUCAGUGUACCAGAAAAGGGGUUAAACAGUGGAACAGAGCAUGUGCUAAUCAGUGGACCAGAGCAUGGGUUAACGAGUGGAGCAGAGCAUGGGCUAAUCAGUGGACCAGAGCAUGAGUUAACAAGUGGACCAGGACAUGGGUUAAACAGAACACAUGGGUUAAACAAAGGAACAGGCCAUGGGCUAAACAAAGGAACAGGCCAUGGGUUAAACAAAGGAACAGGCCAUGGGCUAAACAAAGGAACAGGCCAUGGUCAUCAGGCUCAAUCUGGACAUAACAAUGGAAAUUUCAGGAUUCCAUCUCCUCUUGUGUUUGAUGGACUCAAUAAUUAUGGUUUAGAAUAUAUAUUUUUAGGCGAUAAUAUUAAAAACUCUCAAU
rnacentral:lncRNA from 1 species